rnacentral:rRNA from 1 species
CCUACGGGUGGCAGCAGUGGGGAAUAUUGGGCAAUGGGCGCAAGCCUGACCCAGCAAAGCCGCGUGAAGGAAGACGGCUCUAGGGUUGUUAACUUCUUUUUAGAGGGAAGAGCAGAAGACGGUACCUCUUGAAUUAGCCACGGCUCACUACGUGCCAGCAGCCGAGGUCAUACGUAGGUGGCAAGCGUUGUCCGGCUUUACUGGGUGUAACGGGCGUGCAGCCGGGAAGACAAGUCAGAUGUGAACUCUCGGGGCUCAACCGCGGAACUGCAUUUGAAACUGUUUUUCUUGAGUACCGGAGAGGUCAGCGGAAUGCCUGGUGUAGCGGUGAAAUGCAUAGAUAUAAGGAAGAACACCAGUUGCGAAGGCGGAAGACUGGACGGCAACUGACGGUGAGGCGCGAAAGCGUGGGGAGCAAACAGGAUUAGAUACCCUAGUAGUC